rnacentral:tRNA from 2 species
UUAAUUGAAGCCAAAAUAGAGGCUUUCCAUUGUUAAUGGAAUUAAUGAUAUUAAUUAUCCAAUUAAA